AACGGUAAGGCCCCUUCGGGGGUACACGAGUGGCGAACGGGUGAGUAACACGUGGGUAAUCUGCCCUGCACUUCGGGAUAAGCCUGGGAAACUGGGUCUAAUACCGGAUAUGAACUCCUUCCGCAUGGUGGGGGUUGGAAAGUUUUUCGGUGCAGGANGAGCCCGCGGCCUAUCAGCUUGUUGGUGGGGUAAUGGCCUACCANGGCGACNACCGGUANNCGGCCUGAGAGGGUGAUCGGCCACACUGGGACUGANACACGGCCCAAACUCCUACGGGAGGCAACAGUGGGGAANAUUGCACAGGGGNGGAGGGCCAGAGGCAUCGACGCCNCGUGGGGGAUGANGGUCUUCNNAUUGUAAACCCCUUUCANUACGGACAAAACGCAAGUGACGGUACCUGCANAAGAGCCACCGGCUAACUACNUGCCAACAACCCCGGUAUUACCUAGGGUGCGAGCGUUGUCCGGAAUUACUGGGGGUAAAGAGCUCCUANGCNGUUUGUCACGUCNUCUGUGAAAUCCCUCGGCUUAACCGGGGGCGUGCAGGCNAUACGGGCNNACUUGAGUACUACNGGGGAGACUGGAAUUCCUGGUGUANCGGUGAAAUGCGCANAUAUCAGGAGGAACACCGGUGGCGAANGCGGNUCUCUGGGUAGUAACUGACGCUGANGANCGAAANCAUGGGUAGCNAACANGAUUANUACCCUGGUAGUCCAUGCCNUANACNGUGGGCGC
rnacentral:rRNA from 1 species